UAGAUUUCCCAACCGUUCUCAAUUUAGUAAAUAGCCCUGAAAGAUUUGAUCAUAGUUUACAGCCCUGUUCAAAACUGGAAAUUCUAUUGUGACUAAGAUGUUCGCUGAAUGUCGAGAGAGAUCAUUGAAGAAGCUAAUAAUCAAGGUUCCAUUUGUUUUCACAGAUCAAGACGCCUUAGUGGCUCAGCGAAUUACAGAAGAAUUGGGUCAGGUCG